rnacentral:rRNA from 1 species
GACGAACGCUGGCGGCGUGCUUAACACAUGCAAGUCGAACGGAAAGGCCCUGCUUUUGUGGGGUGCUCGAGUGGCGAACGGGUGAGUAACACGUGAGUAACCUGCCCUUGACUUUGGGAUAACUUCAGGAAACUGGGGCUAAUACCGGAUAGGAGCUCCUGCUGCAUGGUGGGGGUUGAAAAGUUCCGGCGGUUGGGGAUGGACUCGCGGCUUAUCAGCUUGUUGGUGGGGUAGUGGCUUACCAAGGCUUUGACGGGUAGCCGGCCUGAGAGGGUGACCGGCCACAUUGGGACUGAGAUACGGCCCAGACUCCUACGGGAGGCAGCAGUGGGGAAUAUUGCACAAUGGGCGGAAGCCUGAUGCAGCAACGCCGCGUGCGGGAUGACGGCCUUCGGGUUGUAAACCGCUUUCGCCUGUGACGAAGCGUGAGUGACGGUAAUGGGUAAAGAAGCACCGGCUAACUACGUG